rnacentral:rRNA from 1 species
GACGAACGCUGGCGGCGUGCUUAACACAUGCAAGUCGAACGGAAAGGCCCUGCUUUUGUGGGGUGCUCGAGUGGCGAACGGGUGAGUAACACGUGAGUAACCUGCCCUUGACUUUGGGAUAACUUCAGGAAACUGGGGCUAAUACCGGAUAGGAGCUCCUGCUGCAUGGUGGGGGUUGGAAAGUUUCGGCGGUUGGGGAUGGACUCGCGGCUUUUCAGCUUGUUGGUGGGGUAGUGGCUUACCAAGGCUUUGACGGGUAGCCGGCCUGAGAGGGUGACCGGCCACAUUGGGACUGAGAUACGGCCCAGACUCCUACGGGAGGCAGAAGUGGGGAAUAUUGCACAAUGGGCGGAAGCCUGAUGCAGCAACGCCGCGUGCGGGAUGACGGCCUUCGGGUUGUAAACCGCUUUCGCCUGUGACGAAGCGUGAGUGACGGUAAUGGGUAAAGAAGCACCGGCUAACUACGUG